rnacentral:lncRNA from 1 species
CAGAACAUGUGAGGCAUUGGGUUCAAUUCUCAGCACCACAUUAAAAAAAUAAAAUAAAAUAUAUUGUAUCCAUCUACAACUAAAAAAAAAAAAAGUCUAGCAGAUUUAACUCAAAUCCACAGGACACCCUUCGGUGUCCUGAAUGAAACUUGAAUGAAACAGUAAUUACAUCUGAACAGCAACUCUGUUCCUCUCUUCUGUUACUGUUGUUAUGAUAAUGGCUUUGCAUUAAGAAUCUUAAAAUAAUGUGGCCAAUCAUUUUCUGAUAGCAUUUUAAGCAUGUGUAUGUUUGAGCAUUUGUGUGUGUGUAUGUGUGCACACACGUAUAUGCUCCUUUGACAAUAGGUGACUAUUUAAAAGGUUUGAUCUGAGCAGCUCACUAGGUUAGAAAAUAUUGUUCUUGAGAACAAGGUCAUGAGUUCAAAUUCCAGGUGGGCAGGAGAGUUUUUCAGGAAAAAAGACUUGUUCUAAAGCUGGGGGUUGCCUCCUUAAUCCUAGUUCGUUGUCCAGCAUUUAUAUUAUUUCACAUCAAAUUGAGUGAGUCGCUGUCACAAGGAGGAGACUGCUUUUUCAGCACACAAGUUAGUGGUGCUGUCCCUAACAUGGUCCUUGCAUGGAAAGACACUUUGCAUUUCAGAAGAUUUUCAUUGCUUCAUUUGCUGAAGUAAGAUUGAAGAAAAGCUCAAAAAUCAUGUCUACUUUGUAGCUAGUCAAUCAGGUGUUGGUUUGGUGAAUUUAUUCUGAGAGGAAAGUCUUCAAAUCAAAGGAUGCAUAGUAAAAAGGGCCCAAGGGAGCCUUUGAAAACAAAACUUUGAGUACUACCUAUCUUCUCUUUUUAACAUUGGAUUGCACUUCUCCAUCUUCUAGAGAAAAUUCUGUUUGAUAUUCAGUAUACAGGUAGAAGUUUUAUGAAAAUUCAUAUAAAUGUAAAAUUUCAAAACCAGCAA